UAAUCUCACUUGGAACCUGCAAGUUAGGUA
rnacentral:piRNA from 1 species